AUGAUUUAGUAGUGAGCUACAGCAGAGCCCGGCGCUAAUUCACAGAAGAACCAGAUGCCAGAAUGCUGAGCUACAGCACAAUCCCAGGACCACAUCUCACUGUAACUGGAAGUGAAAUGGAGCGGCGCUGAGAACAUGCUGUGCUUAGACGUGGAACACCAGGCAGUGACAGGAUCAUCUGUUCAGUGUCAGAUAAGACUGAAGCUUUCCAUAUUGUUGUGUACUAAACUGUGUGCUUUCAUCCAUCCCGCUCAAAAGGAAAACUUGUCUAUCAAUCACAAAGCCUGCUGUUGUAGGAAAGACCGGACCGGGAAAUUCAAUCUGAGAUGUCAGAAGCGCUUGAGGAGACAGAUUUAUUGCUUCCAUAACAGCUGCUUCUGUGUUGCCCACACCUUCGCUUUGAAAAAUGUGCCAUCCGAAUCGGCCCCACUGGCAAACGCACACCCCAUCAGCCCAAAUGCCAGCUUUAUUUAUCUUCUGUUGAACUGGAAAACAGUUCAAAUGUCAUUGGCUGUGAUGGAGAUGGUGGACAAUCAAAAUGCAGCGGAUGUGCUCCACUGGUGGGAACCGUUUUGUGGGUUUUUACCAAAUACAUAAACGUACAUAUUAAUCUUGCAGACCUCAAGAUAUUUUUAUCUGUAGGAUUCGAGUGAACAAAAGAAAGGUACAUUUUCCAUGUCCUGUUGUUUCUGAGAUUCAAAGCACUGCUAUAAUUAAUUAUUAGGAUUAUUAUUAUGUAAAUUUCGAAAUGCACAGCCCUUGAGCCGUGUUAAAUUGUAAAUUAUUUUUAAAUUAUUAUUUGUAUUUUGUGAUCAUUUCUGAGUGCGAAUAUUUAUUAUUUAGAUCUCUUGAAUUAUUUAUAAGGUGAGACCUUUGAUAUUCACAUAGAAAAACAUUUUUGCUCGUAUCAUUUAUUUUGCAACACUUAUUUAUGUUAGUUUUUUCUCAAAACCCCAGUUUAAACGUCCAGUCCUGCACUAAUUAAAUCACACACGAUGAUGUUUAUAAAUAUGAAUGUUUUAUGAAGCAUAUUUAUUGAUUGCACAUCAGUGCAACAGCAGAGAAACUAUUACAGACCGGGAGAAAAAUGAAGAUGGCUGUCAUAAGAAAUCAGUCAGAGUGACUAGACCAAGGACUUUUUUCAAAGGAUCAAAGAUAUAUAUUUGGUGUGCCAUAACGCUUGAUGAAACGGCGUGUAAAAAUCAUCACCUUUAUCAUGACAGAUGAUGGCAGCUUCUUUGUUUCUGUGUCAUUGGAGUGCUUGUUAAAUGAAGGCAUGGUGAUCUCUAUGCACUGUACAUUAUUAGCUGUCUGACUGUUGUGAAUUCUGACACUUGUACAGAUAAUAAGUUGUAGACGAAAGAUGAAAAACGUGAAAGUGUAUCACAAAUGUUUUAUGUUCCUGAAUUCAUCUUGUUCUCAAACCGUAAAUGAGUUUAGUAAAUGAUUAUGUAAAUCCGUUGUGUAAAUAUGCCAACGUUUAGUGCGGCAAUAUUAGGCAUGGGCUUUAUUUAUUGAGAUGGAGUAGUGGUGCUGACUGUUUACAAGGCUGGCUUUCUAAUUUACAUAAUUUGCAUUCCCUCAAAAAAAAAAAAACAUGCUGAAAUGUUGCCAUGAAUCCAACCUAUUUCACUGAAUCUGGCUUCUGUGAUUGCAAAAAUUAUUGCAAACACCUGUAAUAUGAGUUAUUCAUUUAUUUUUGCAUAGAAUAAGCGGUGAAUAUUCAAAACAAGCAAGUCUGUGUUUUAUCUCAAAGUUAAAAUUCUCAAUGCAGGACGCCAGGCUGGAAGAUUACGUCGAGAACAUUCCCCAAUUUCCCCUAUUCUCCAAUGUAUAUACACUGUUGUCUAUGUGCACAAGAAUAUCAAUGUCUCCCUUGCUAAAGUAAAUUAAUGACUAGUUCUCUGUGGUCUGAUUAUGUAAUGAUAUUCAAAGAUUUCUAAAUAAAUUAUUCAUCUAAUAAUUUCA